UGUGUGUGUGUGUCAGUAUCCUUACAUAUAUGAAAAUCUGCAUACUGUAUGACACAGAUAAAGGUACGAAUAAAACAAUAUUAUCUUUAAAUGUUAGUGGUGGACCUCAUCGGACCCUUCACGAAAUCCAAGAAUGGCAACAGCUGGUAUCUGACGACGACCGAUCACUUUACCAAGUGGGUGGAGGCAAUAGCCAUUAUGGUCAGUAAAGGAAGAGUACGCGCUUAACUCUAAAUUCCCUUCUGUAACCCAUUAAAAAGGGUGCUUGGAACCAAAACUCGAUUUUCGUUUUGUAUGAUACCCAUCAUGGACGAGACUGGCGAGGCUACCUCCAAGGCGAUGAUGAUCUUCAACACCCACUGUUCUCCGGGGGUCAUCUUGAGUGACCGAGGUCAUGAAUGCUAGAACAAGGUACGGAUGUUCUAGGUCAUAUUCUGUCAUCAAUGGUUUGUUUCAUUUAUUUUUUACAAUUUGUUUUUGUUUUCCCAUGGUACAUAAAUCAGACAUAUUUCAAUAUCUUAUAUUUUCAAUAGAUAUCGCUUUCCUACCCCCUCCUCCAGGUUUGGUGAACGGGCCAAUCAAAACCUCAAGACUGCCAUGGGCUGGUCCCUUGAUUGGAACCAGGAAGGGUUCCAAUUUCCUGAAGGUAAUUCUCUUUGCACACAACAGCAGCAUCCAGGCCUCCACCGAGUACGGACGGGAGCCGCAGCUGUUGACUGAGGUAAACAAUGCAAUUGUAUACAAUAUACAAUUAUUGCAUGUACUGUAGUCUAUCAAAUGUAUGAUUGACUUAGUUAUGUUGUUUGCCUUUUGCUAUUUUUGUAUAACGUACUUUCAGAUCACUGAAACCCCACCUGAUGUAGUGGAAGUUGUCGAACCAGAUCAGAACUCUUCGAGUACUACCUUCAGGCACGGACUGAGAAGGAUGUGGAGGUUUUUGACCAGGUGAGACUGAACAUCGACAAGGCGCAGGAGAAACAAAAGGAGAGCUACCGGAGCAGAAUCAAGAAGGGGACCAAGUGCUUCGACAUCCAGGCGAAUUACUUGGUUUGGAAGGACGAAAGUAAGGCGAGAGCUGGGAAACCUCGCUGCACUUUUGCUCCUAGCUGGGGUCACCAUCUGUUAAAGAUUACCUCAGUGGAAGCCAACAAUCUUCUCCAGUUGGAGCAGUUGGACGGUCGACCACUGAAAGCCCUGACGCCCUACACUUCGGUGAAGCCCAAAAGACAAAGAUCAUCGACUGUCCCAGCCCCCCCAGGAGGUAUCCCAUCCACCAGAACCAGUGAGUUCGUGUCAGUCUGAUUCUCUGUGCUCUAAGUCGGAGGGGGACCAGCUUGAGGACCUAGGGGUUCUGCCCAACACCCAGACGUGGAUCCACC